rnacentral:misc_RNA from 1 species
AAGUCGUAACAAGGUUUCCGUAGGUGAACCUGCGGAAGGAUCAUUAACACGUAUCCAACGUUAAACCCCCCCGUGAACGUACAAUCUGUUGCUUCUCCGGUAACGCGAAACAAUGGUUGCAAUCCCUGGUAAAUCAUCGCCGAACAGUUUUGAUUCAGGCACUUGCACUGUUUAUCUUUGUAAAGUAGAAAGGUCACAAGAUGCUGUAAUAGACCGCUUUAAUCAGCGGGUCACCAGGAGGCCGACACGGCCGGUAAUCGGAUUCUGGGCGUCGUUCCUCUAGGAACGAGUACAUCCCUCGUGACCCCUUGAAACGACAGGGUGUCUGCAAAACGGAGGCUCAAGCACUCCACACUUGAAAGGGUCGUGGAGAUAACGA